GGAUUAGAUACCCUGGUAGUCCACGCCCUAAACGAUGUGUGCUAGACGUCGGGAGGCUUGCCUCUCGGUGUCGGAGCUAACGUGUUAAGCACACCGCCUGGGGAGUACGGCCGCAAGGUUAAAACUCAAAGGAAUUGACGGGGGCCCGCACAAGCGGUGGAGCAUGUGGUUUAAUUCGACGCAACGCGCAGAACCUUACCAGCCCUUGACAUGGUGGUUCCGGUUCCCGGAGACGGGUUCCUUCAGUUCGGCUGGGCCAUCACAGGUGCUGCAUGGCUGUCGUCAGCUCGUGCCG
rnacentral:rRNA from 1 species